rnacentral:rRNA from 1 species
CGGGGUGGAGUAAUGUCUGGGAAACUGCCUGAUGGAGGGGGGUAACUACUGGAAACGGUAGCUAAUACCGCAUAACGUCGCAAGACCAAAGAGGGGGACCUUCGGGCCUCUUGCCAUCGGAUGUGCCCAGAUGGGAUUAGCUAGUAGGUGGAGUAACGGCUCACCUAGGCGACGAUCCCUAGCUGGUCUGAGAGGAUGACCAGCCACACUGGAACUGAGACACGGUCCAG